GACGAACGCUGGCGGCGUGCUUAACACAUGCAAGUCGAACGGAAAGGCCCUGCUUUUGUUGGGUGCUCGAGUGGCGAACGGGUGAGUAACACGUGAGUAACCUGCCCUUGACUUUGGGAUAACUUCAGGAAACUGGGGCUAAUACCGGAUAGUAGCUCCUGCUGCAUGGUGGGGGUUGGAAAGUUUCGGCGGUUGGGGAUGGACUCGCGGCUUAUCAGCUUGUUGGUGGGGUAGUGGCUUACCAAGGCUUUGACGGGUAGCCGGCCUGAGAGGGUGACCGGCCACAUUGGGACUGAGAUACGGCCCAGACUCCUACGGGAGGCAGCAGUGGGGAAUAUUGCACAAUGGGCGGAAGCCUGAUGCAGCAACGCCGCGUGCGGGAUGACGGCCUUCGGGUUGUAAACCGCUUUCGCCUGUGACGAAGCGUGAGUGACGGUAAUGGGUAAAGAAGCACCGGCUAACUACGUG
rnacentral:rRNA from 1 species